rnacentral:rRNA from 1 species
CCUACGGGAGGCAGCAGUGAGGAAUAUUGGUCAAUGGGCGAGAGCCUGAACCAGCCAAGUCGCGUGAGGGAGUACUGCCCUAUGGGUUGUAAACCUCUUUUGUCGGGGAGCAAAAGCCGGACGUGUCCGGCUGUGAGAGUACCCGAAGAAAAAGCAUCGGCUAACUCCGUGCCAGCAGCCGCGGUAAUACGGAGGAUGCGAGCGUUAUCCGGAUUUAUUGGGUUUAAAGGGUGCGCAGGCGGAUUUGUAAGUCAGCGGUAAAAUCGUGGGGCUCAACCCCAUCCAGCCGUUGAAACUGGGGAUCUAGAGUGUGCGAGAGGUAUGCGGAAUGCGUGGUGUAGCGGUGAAAUGCAUAGAUAUCACGCAGAACCCCGAUUGCGAAGGCAGCAUACCGGUGCACAACUGACGCUCAGGCACGAAAGCGUGGGUAUCGAACAGGAUUAGAUACCCCUGUAGUC